CGAGUCAUAGAUUGGGAGAACAGAGACGGCGGAGUCUUUGACUCUUUCUGAGCAAACUGGUCUGAUCUGAGGGAGCUGAGGAAGCUUAGUUUUGUCCAGUUGCACAGUUAAGACCUUAGCCAUGGCAUCUGUAUCAUUUCGAGAGCCUAUAUCUUCCACAGUGGGAAAACGGAUGAUUCUUACAGGCCCAGAUUAUAUAAAGGAUCAUCUACCGAAGGUCCAUCAGCACACUUCCUAUAUCGGAGAAAAGCGCCCAGCAUUAGAAAAGACUGGAGAUCUCAGAUAUUUAUGGAGGCCUGCCUCAAACAGUUGCUUACCAGCAAAAUAUAAAUACGAGUAUGUUGGUGAAAUUGGUUGGGGAAUACCAGAGUAUGAUUUUAUCAACCAAACACGGCUUCAGACUGGCUUUCACAUCAAGUGUGGAGAAAUAAGUCAAGCCACUAUUGACAAAAUAGGACACAGAUACCAAAAUCCAUGGCAACCAAAACCUCGUGUUAUGAAUGUGCAAGGAAGAUACAGUCGUGGUAGUAUUGCCUGGCACAUGGGUGAUCAUGAGAACACUGAUCAAAGGAACUCCAAAGCAGCCGUCCUUGUCAAGCAGAGCACGGCAGACCUGCCACGCGCUUCCACACCACACAAGCGGCCAACGCUACCAAGAAAGGAGAGGCCGCUGAAAGCUCUGAAGUAUGAGGAUAGAACACAUGGUAUCAGACUGUGCACUCUGCAGCUACGAACUACAUCUUGAGAUUAAGAGGCUACAUUGAUUCCUGGGUUUAUUGCACCAACAAUCCCUCCCUAGCCUGCCUGUGGCUGCAUCUGCAACAAGAAAAGGAAAAGUUCAGCUGCUAAGUCAGCAUGAUGCAGCUUGCUACUAGAAAGAAAAACUGCCCGCGAAAAAAGAAUGAAAUUGAGGCCAUCAUAACUCAUCAGUGCUUCUCCCAUGACCCCCGGGACACAGGUCCUGUGAGAGCAUGCUUCAGUCUAAAGCCCAAAUAAAUAUUUUGGCAAAAAA